rnacentral:sRNA from 1 species
GCCUUAUUUCAAGCUACUUCACAGUCAUCUACGUGGGGGCCUCUGCAACUAUACGGGUCUAACUUUGCUGUGGACGGUUUGAUAAAAGACAGGUGCAAUGCAGGACAAUGUAGUCAUACCCUUACCGAUCAAGGUCCUCAAGUCUGGAACAUAACAUUUGACAGAUCAUAUGAGAUAAAUAAAUUUGUUCUUUUUAACCGAUGUAAGUGAUCAAUUGAUGAAUAUAAAGACCGUUUGAAAGGGUUCUUUCUUCAGGCAUUCAAUAGUGACUCUACCACCACAUUUAGUUACACUAACCAUCCGCCGACUGGGCAAUAUAUAUACACAAUGGUUUAUUUUGGUAAAAAGCCAGUGAAUAAAGUUGUGAUUGGUCUAAAUAAUAAUUUUCUUGCGAUAAAUGAAUUCCAAGCCUAUGGAGAUUGUCUACCAGGCUGGUGGGGAUUGGACUGUAUACAGAGAUGUAACAGUACAUGUAAUGACACUUGCAACACAGAAAAUGGUUUAUGUAGAGUUUGUAUUGGAG